rnacentral:rRNA from 1 species
AACGAACGCUGGCGGCAUGCCUAACACAUGCAAGUCGAACGAGACCUUCGGGUCUAGUGGCGCACGGGUGCGUAACGCGUGGGAACCUGCCCUUAGGUUCGGAAUAACUCCCCGAAAGGGGUGCUAAUACCGGAUAAUGUCUUCGGACCAAAGAUUUAUCGCCUUUGGAUGGGCCCGCGUUGGAUUAGCUAGUUGGUAGGGUAAAAGCCUACCAAGGCGACGAUCCAUAGCUGGUCUGAGAGGAUGAUCAGCCACACUGGGACUGAGACACGGCCCAGACCCCUCGGGGAGGGAGCAGGGGGGAAUAUUGGACAAGGGGCGAAAGCCUGACCCAGCAAUGCCGGGGGAGUGAUGAAGGCCUUGGGGUUGUAAAGCUCUUUUACCCGGGAUGAAAAGGCCAGACCCGGGAGAAUAACCCCCGGCUACCUCCGU